GAUGAACGCUGGCGGCGUGCCUAAUACAUGCAAGUCGAGCGAACAGACGAGGAGCUUGCUCCUCUGACGUUAGCGGCGGACGGGUGAGUAACACGUGGAUAACCUACCUAUAAGACUGGGAUAACUUCGGGAAACCGGAUCUAAUACCGGAUAAUAUAUUUAACCGCAUGGUUCAAUAGUGAAAGACGGUUUUGCUUUCACUUAUAGAUGGAUCCCCGCCGCAUUAGCUAGUUGGUAAGGUAACGGCUUACCAAGGCAACGAUGCGUAGCCGACCUGAGAGGGUGAUCGGCCACACUGGAACUGAGACACGGUCCAGACUCCUACGGGAGGCAGCAGUAGGGAAUCUUCCGCAAUGGGCGAAAGCCUGACGGAGCAACGCCGCGUGAGUGAUGAAGGUCUUCGGAUAGUAAAACUCUGUUAUUAGGGAAGAACAAAUGUGUAAGUAACUAUGCACGUCUUGACGGUACCUAAUCAGAAAGCCACGGCUAACUACGUG
rnacentral:rRNA from 1 species